rnacentral:rRNA from 1 species
UACGUAGGGUCCGAGCGUUGUCCGGAAUUAUUGGGCGUAAAGAGCUCGUAGGUGGUGUGUCGCGUCGGAUGUGAAAGCCCGGGGCUUAACCCCGGGUCUGCAUUCGGUACGGGCAUGCUGGAGUUCGGUAGGGGAGACUGGAAUUCCUGGUGUAGCGGUGAAAUGCGCAGAUAUCAGGAGGAACACCGGUGGCGAAGGCGGGUCUCUGGGCCGAUACUGACACUGAGGAGCGAAAGCGUGGGGAGCGCACAGG